GAACGCUUCGAAAAUGCCACAGUUGAAUUGCAUUUAACUCAAUGGCAUCCUGAGUGAGCUUCAAGGCACGCUCACUUCUCUCAUUACGAGGCGGAACAGCUUGGAAAUGAUCGUGAACGUCUCUGAACUUUUCACUAUAGAUGAUCUGCACUACUGGAUUGGAGCCAUCAUUCUCCGACACUGGUUCUAUGUCAGCCGACUCGGCUCUGUCCCUGUACCUGACGUAGAUACCAGAACUGUUACUCAUCAGACUAAGGAAAUUUCAUCCUACUGGAAUACAUGGACAUUUAAUGAAAAAUUAUCAGAUAUUCAUCUUCUUUUUCACCAUGUACACAGAAGUAAUUCUAGUUGAAAUGAAUAAUUUGGAUACUUGAUAUUUCCAACAUUUUGGCAAACAUAACAGUUAAGAUGAUGAGAGCAUUUAUCUGAAUAAAAAUUGAAAAUGAAUGCAGAC
rnacentral:lncRNA from 1 species